rnacentral:rRNA from 1 species
UACGAAGGGGGCUAGCGUUGUUCGGAAUCACUGGGCGUAAAGCGCACGUAGGCGGACUUUCAAGUCAGGGGUGAAAUCCCGGAGCUCAACUUCGGAAUUGCCUCUGAUACUGUUGGUCUCGAGUCCGGAAGAGGUGGGUGGAAUUCCUAGUGUAGAGGUGAAAUUCGUAGAUAUUAGGAAGAACACCAGUGGCGAAGGCGGCCCACUGGUCCGGUACUGACGCUGAGGUGCGAAAGCGUGGGGAGCAAACAGG